rnacentral:tRNA from 1 species
GGGGUUGUAGCUCAGUGGUAGAGUGCUUGCCUUGGAUACACGAGGCCCUGGGUUCGAUCCUCAGCACCACA